rnacentral:rRNA from 1 species
GACGAACGCUGGCGGCGUGCUUAACACAUGCAAGUCGAACGGUGAAGCGCCUUCCUUUCUGGUGGGUGUGGAUGAGCGGCGAACGGGUGAGUAACACGUGAGCAACCCGCUACCUCUUUCUGGACAACCGCAUGCAAGAGUGGCUAAUACGGGAUAUUUUGGGCCUGUUGCAUGAUGGGUCUGGGAAAGAUUUUGUUUCGGUGGGGGAUGGGCUCGCGGCCUAUCAGCUUGUUGGUGAGGUGAUGGCCUACCAAGGCGGUGACGAGUAGCCGGCCUGAGAGGAUGGGCCGCCACAGUACGGCGACGAGACCGAGAAUACUCCGACGGGAGGCAGCAGUGAGUAUUAUUGCACGAGGGACAGAAGCCUGGUGCAGCGACGCCGGAGUAGUGAUGGUGGCCUUAGGGUUGUAAUCCUCUAUCACGGGUGAAGAAAUCCUUCCGUGUUUGUGGAUGGGUUGACGGUAGCUAGACAGAAAGCGCCGGCUAACUACGUG